GAAGCGCAGCCCUGACCCGGCAGCCAUGCCCCUUGAUUCUUGGGGUCUCUGUCGUUAAACAGCAGCAAUGAAUUCUGUCGGGCAAUGUCCAUUCGGACUCAGACGGUAUGUGAUGGCCUGGCCGUCUCUAUUUUUACUUCCAGCUGCUUUCAGACAGGACUGGGGGACCCUUGGCUGACCCCAAAGGCACUGCACACCUAUGGCGACCACUCUCAUUAUCUUCUUCAACAGUACUCUGGGGUCUCAAACAUCAACCUGUCAGCAAGUAACAGUGCGCCUAGCUGGGAAGUGAGGCCUAUUAAUUCAGUCUCUUCUGGAGAAUGCCAAUCACCAAACUAACAUGCGUUAACAAGAGAGAGAUCUCUUCAGAGCAAAUAAUAAUGAGAGCUCUAAGAAUUAAAAUGCAAUUAGAAGCUGCCAGCACUACCAAUACUUUGCACUCAUGGAUCAAGAGGCUAGUUGCUAUUUCAUCUACAAAAGGAAACAGUGAGAAAAGCGCUUCAACCACUCUCCUAAUGCAAUGUUCAUGACAAAUUUGAAUUACAGUGAUU